CAAUAAGCGGAGGAAAAGAAACUAACAAGGAUUCCCCCAGUAACGGCGAGUGAAGAGGGAACAGCCCAAAUUUGUAAUCUGGCCCCUUUGGGGUCCGAGUUGUAAUCUCGAGAACUGUUUUCCGCGCCGGACCAUGUACAAGUCUGUUGGAAUAUAGCUUCAUAGAGGGUGAGAAUCCCGUACAUGACAUGGACUACCGGUGCUUUGCGAUACAGUCUCUAAGAGUCGAGUUGUUUGGGAAUGCAGCUCAAAUUGGGUGGUAAAUUCCAUCUAAGGCUAAAUAUUGGCGAGAGACCGAUAGCGAACAAGUACCGUGAGGGAAAGAUGAAAAGCACUUUGGAAAGAGAGUUAACAGUACGUGAAAUUGUUGAAAGGGAAACGCUUGAAGUCAGCCUUGUUCUUGGUUGUUCAGCCCUCCGUGGCGUAUUCAACUUUGAGCAGGCCAGCAUCAGUUUUGGGUGCUGGAUAAGGGCUUAGGAAAUGUGGCAGCCUUGGCUGUGUUAUAGUCCUUUGCUUGAUACAGCGCUCCGGGACUGAGGAAUGCAGCGAGCCUUUUGGCGGGUCCAUUUAUGGACCUUCUCGCUUUGGAUGCUGGCGUAAUGGCUUUAAACGACCCGUCUUGAAACACG
rnacentral:rRNA from 1 species